AGGGAAUAUUCUGUGUCAUUGCGCUGAAAUUGUUGUGGAAGUUGGAGACUUGUCUACAUAUAUGGCUGCUAUUAUUCUUCAGAAACGUAAAUAUAUUUGAUUCCAUCUCGUCAUGGCCGGAAAGAUAGAUGACGCAUAUGAGCUACUACUUAAAAUGUACCGCAAUAUUUCGAUGAAAUGCCUUCUGUCUUGCGUACCAACGCAAACAGAAAUGAAGCCGAGACGUGGAGAGGUUCUGUGUGCUGAAUAUUGUAUUACAUGUGAAAUGCAGCAGUUGAGGAAAUCUGUAAUCAACAAACUACCACAGACAAGGAAGCAAUAAAAAUAUAUAUGGAUACAUGUUUUUUCAUACACUUAGCAAAUGUUCUGAAAUGUUAAUCAAUAGUAAAUGUUGUGGAAAAUAUUAUAUUUACCAAUCAAAGUUGAUUCACAUCUAAGUAUUGUUGCUGAGUUCAGUUUAACCUUUCAUCCCAUAACUAUAUUUUCAGUGCAUUCAUCUCUCUACAUUUGCUUCUGUAUCAGUAAUCUGUGAAUAAUCUUAAAACUCCUUUAUUUAGAACC
rnacentral:lncRNA from 1 species